GCCCAAGUGGCGGAAUGGUAGACGCAGGGGAUUCAAAAUCCCCCGCCGCAAGGCGUGUGGGUUCGAAUCCCACCUUGGGCA
rnacentral:tRNA from 1 species